rnacentral:tRNA from 1 species
UUUUAGCUCAGUGGUCGAGCGCUUGUUUUGGAAGCCACAGGUCGGUGGCUCAAAUCCACCCGGGCGCAG